rnacentral:rRNA from 1 species
UGGGGAAUAUUGCGCAAUGGGGGAAACCCUGACGCAGCGACGCCGCGUGAGCGAAGAAGGCCUUCGGGUUGUAAAGCUCUGUUGUAAGGGACGAAGGAGCUGGGUAGUAACUGACCUGGCGGUGACGGUACCUUACCAGCAAGCCCCGGCUAACUACGUGCCAGCAGCCGCGGUAAGACGUAGGGGGCGAGCGUUGUCCGGAAUUACUGGGCGUAAAGAGCACGUAGGCGGGUAUUUAAGUCAGGUGUGAAAGACCGCGGCCCAACUGCGGGGUUGCACUUGAAACUGAAUAUCUUGAGGGCAGGAGAGGUCAGUGGAAUUCCUGGUGUAGCGGUGAAAUGCGUAGAUAUCAGGAGGAACACCAGUGGCGAAGGCGACUGACUGGACUGACCCUGACGCUGAGGUGCGAAAGCGUGGGUAGCAAACAGG